GAUGAACGCUGGCGGCGUGCUUAACACAUGCAAGUCGAACGGAAAGGCCCAAGCUUGCUUGGGUACUCGAGUGGCGAACGGGUGAGUAACACGUGGGUGAUCUGCCCUUCACUUCGGGAUAACCCUGGGAAACUGGGGCUAAUACCGGAUAGGACCACCUUUUGGAUGGUGGGGUGGGAAGUUUUUCGGUGUGGGGUGAGAUUGCGGCCUUUCAUCUUGUUGGUGGGGUAAUGGCCUAACAAGGCGUCGACGGGUAGCCGGCCUGGGAGGGUGGACGGCCACAAUGGGGAUGAGAUACGGGCCAGACUCCCACGGGGGGGAAGAGUGGGGGAUAUUGCAAAAUGGGGGGGAGCCUGAUGCAAGGAAGCCGCGUGGGGGAAGACGGGCUUCGGGUUGGAAACCCGUUUCCCUAGGUGACAAGCAGUAUGUGACGGUACCUGGUGAAGAAGCACCGGCUAACUACGUG
rnacentral:rRNA from 1 species